rnacentral:rRNA from 1 species
GGGUUGUGAGGUUAAGCGACUAAGCGUACACGGUGGAUGCCCUGGCAGUCAGAGGCGAUGAAGGGCGUGCUAAUCUGCGAUAAGCGCCGGUAAGGUGAUAUGAACCGUUAUAACCGGCGAUACCCGAAUGGGGAAACCCAGUGUGACUCGUCACACUAUCAUUAACUGAAUCCAUAGGUUAAUGAGGCGAACCGGGGGAACUGAAACAUCUAAGUACCCCGAGGAAAAGAAAUCAACCGAGAUUCCCCCAGUAGCGGCGAGCGAACGGGGAGGAGCCCAGAGCCUGAAUCAGCAUGUGUGUUAGUGGAAGCGUCUGGAAAGGCGCGCGAUACAGGGUGACAGCCCCGUACACAAAAGCGCAUAUGCUGUGAGCUCGAUGAGUAGGGCGGGACACGUGGUAUCCUGUCUGAAUAUGGGGGGACCAUCCUCCAAGGCUAAAUACUCCUGACUGACCGAUAGUGAACCAGUACCGUGAGGGAAAGGCGAAAAGAACCCCGGCGAGGGGAGUGAAAAAGAACCUGAAACCGUGUACGUACAAGCAGUGGGAGCACCCUUUUGGGUGUGACUGCGUACCUUUUGUAUAAUGGGUCAGCGACUUAUAUUCUGUAGCAAGGUUAACCGAAUAGGGGAGCCGGAGGGAAACCGAGUCUUAAU